CCCUAGCCCUGAUGGAAGCGGCAUCCUUUUGUGGUGGUCCCGAUAGCUAUCGGGACACAAAAGAUAUAGCGGACAGCAGGAAUCAGC
rnacentral:sRNA from 1 species